GGUAGGAGGAGCUGCCUCGAAGGCCUGGAGUCUCUGUGUGCUGCGGAGAAGCACGUGGUCCCCCUGCACUUUACAGAGUAAGGCCUUGGUUUUGGACACUCUCUCAUUCUGUUUGAUUUGUUGGCCUCAACUUCAAUCAUAUUGUGCUGUAUUGUGUUAUUUUGCAUUCUGAUAUCAUAUUUAGUAAAUUAACUCCUCAGAUUGUUGCUGCUGUUUUUAGACCCAUCUAUGAUUCCCCUACCCUUCCCCUUUUUUCCCGGGGCGUGGGUCUGCAGGUCCCCUGCCUCAUUAGUCAUGGGCCUGGUCCAGGCUGGCCCAUAAACCACUCACGCUUUUUUUUGUCUCUUUUCUUUCUUCUCUGGGCUGCUGGGCCUGUGGGCCUGCUGUCCCCCUGUCAUGGGCACAGACAGAUCCAGAGAUAACUCCGUGACAGUUUACUCUGGAGGAAGCUGAGGAGAGACUCAUCUCUUUCCUAUGGCUCCUUAAAAGAGGGAUAAAGCAAGCUACUGCCUGGGCCACAUCUACAGGAAAUCUAUACUGAAAGCAUAAUAAAAGGCCAGUAAAGCAGAGCACAGAGAGUUAGUUGUCAGUCAGCAACCUACUGUCCAAUGUCCUUCACCGUCAAACUGUCACUUGAAAAAGCUGUCUCAUCAGUCAGGGAGGAAAAGAUCUCUGAACAGUGAUCUCCACUCUGCUCAGCUGCACCUGAAAGACUGUGAAUAUUGAAAUUCAAGGUUCAUGCUUAACUAAAAUUUCUGAACUCAGCUGAGAAAUCCAGUGCUCACUGAGGUGAUCACAGUGUCAUAAUGCUGCAGUAGGCCCAGGAUUUGGUGUGUCUGGACAUGUUGUACCUUACGUAUUCUCUUGCAGAGGCCUGAAGCUGAGUAGUUCAGGUCCAAGAUUCUUGGCUAGGAGGAUGGGAAAUAUUCACUGUCACACUUCAUGUUGUCACUAUAUUUAAUUUUAAUCUCAACAGUGAGCCAGGAGCGGCUCACUGGACAAGUGCUGCUCACUUUUUUUCCAUGUGCCAAAACCUUGUUAGGUGUUCUGGAACCUUCUAAGCCAAACUGAAAAGAGGGUAAAAUGGUUCAGUUUGAUUAGAAUGUAUGGAAAUAUUGGAAAGAAUAUUACUAAAGGAGCCUGAAUUCAACUCACAUUCCCUGAAGUGUGAUACACUGACUGAAGUUUGAUAAGCUUUUCCUCAAAUGAGUAUAGAAAAUGUUCUUAGUUUUUUUUUUGGUUUUUUUUUUUUUUUUUAAAGUCCUGUGCAGUCUAGGUUAAGUA